GAUGAACGCUGGCGGCGUGCCUAAUACAUGCAAGUCGAGCGAACAGACGAGGAGCUUGCUCCUCUGACGUUAGCGGCGGACGGGUGAGUAACACGUGGAGAACCUACCUAUAAGACUGGGAUAACUUCGGGAAACCGGAGCUAAUACCGGAUAAUAUAUUGAACCGCAUGGUUCAAUAGUGAAAGACGGUUUUGCUGUCACUUAUAGAUGGAUCGGCUCCGCAUUAGCUAGUUGGUAAGGUAACGGCUUACCAAGGCGACGAUCCGUAGCCGACCUGAGAGGGUGAUCGGCACCACUGGAACUGAGACACGGUCCAGACUCCUACGGGAGGCAGCAGUAGGGAAUCUUCCGCAAUGGGCGAAAGCCUGACGGAGCAACGCCGCGUGAGGGAUGAAGGUCUUCGGAUCGUAAACCUCUGUUAUUAGGGAAGAACAAAUGUGUAAGUAACUAUGCACGUCUUGACGGUACCUAAUCAGAAAGCCACGGCUAACUACGUG
rnacentral:rRNA from 1 species